rfam:Gossypium raimondii Chr11_contig_1267, whole genome shotgun sequence.
UUUUUUGCUGAUGCAGCAUCUUCAAGAUUCACAUGCAAAGUAUAGUACGGCCAGGCCAUAGCUUUUGUUUGAAGCAUGAGAAUCUUGAUGAUGCUGCAUCGGCCAUUAA